AUUGUAUAGUACCCUAACCAAAUAAGGCCUAUGCCCCAAUAAAGCCUAUUUUGAAAAUUUCCCUCUUCCCGAUGUCAAAUGGUCGCCAAAGUUUGUAGAAGUGUGCAUGCACAUUACUUAACUAAUUUGAGCACAGCAAGCAACCCGUGCCGCGAUUAUGUUGGAACCUACAGACGAAAACAAUCACGACGUGGAGCGCACUUUAGUUUUUAUAAAAUUCGAGUAGCGUAAACUGUUAGUAUUUUUAUAUUUGUCAGUAUACGACGUGCCGUGUUUUGUCUGUAUGACAAUUAUACAUUUAGCCAUCUCCUCACAUUAGUGAAAUAGCUAUAAUAUCGGUGUAUUUCAUAUAAUCGUUGUUUUGCCUUAUUACGGUAUAGUUGUUUUUCAGUAAUUUCAAAGAAAACGGAUCACCAGCUUCUGUCAAAAAGAAAGCCAAUGGAUUUUGCAAAAGAUGGAAAACGCUGUUAAAAUGGUAGAAAGGGGUAAACGGGGUGAAUAGAUACAGAAAAGGGGUGAAUAGAUAUCGGGAAAUUCUUCAUAGUAUCUAUUCACCUUUCGAAUUUUAUACACCCUGUUUUACCCGGUAGGCUGCUGCAGCCAGAUAUAACAUCCAAAGAAGUACGCAUCAUCUAAAGAGUGGUUUCCACUACACGAAAGCUAGGUCGGUCGCUAAAUUAGCUACAGAACAAGAAGUUAUUCUCAUUCGUUUGACUGAUGCUGGGGUGCCGAUGACUUCAAAGAUGUUACUUGGGUAUUACAUGAUGAGAAACUCGUUUAGCCUGAUGUAUAAUGACAAAAAUUAAUUAAUAAGAUCUCAUUACAUUUAUUAUAAGCAUUGACAAAGUUUUGUUAUAAUUAAGAAGUUGAAUACUUACUAGUUUUUAUUGAGGCCUUAUUAAGACAUAGGGUUCCCAAUAAGGCCAAAGUGACACUUUAGUUAUUUGUGUUUAUAAAAUUGUAAAUUUUGUUUCUAAAGCCAUUUUGAUUCCAUUAUUACAAAGUUUAAUAAAUAAAUAUAAGAUUUUGAAAUUA